rnacentral:rRNA from 1 species
CCUACGGGUGGCAGCAGUGGGGAAUCUUGCGCAAUGGGCGAAAGCCUGACGCAGCGACGCCGCGUGAGGGAUGACGGCCUUCGGGUUGUAAACCUCUUUCAGCUCCGACGCGGUAGGAGCAGAAGAAGCACCGGCCAACUACGUGCCAGCAGCCGCGGUAAUACGUAGGGUGCAAGCGUUGUCCGGAAUUAUUGGGCGUAAAGAGCUCGUAGGCGGUUUGUCGCGUCGGCUGUGAAAACUCGGGGCUCAACCCCGAGCUUGCAGUCGAUACGGGCAGACUAGAGUUCGGCAGGGGAGACUGGAAUUCCUGGUGUAGCGGUGAAAUGCGCAGAUAUCAGGAGGAACACCGGUGGCGAAGGCGGGUCUCUGGGCCGAACUGACGCUGAGGAGCGAAAGCGUGGGGAGCGAACAGGAUUAGAUACCCUUGUAGUC